UAGGCUCCCCAUCUGACAGCUCCCCAUCUGACAACCCCCUAAACAGGUACUGUAGGCUCCCCAUCUGACAUCCCCCUAAACAGGUACUGUAGGCUCCCCAUCUGACAUCCCCCUAAACAGGUACUGUAGGCUCCCCAUCUGACAACCCCCUAAACAGGUACUGUAGGCUCCCCAUCUGACAACCCCCUAAACAGGUACUGUGGGCUCCCCAUCUGACAACCCCCUAAACAGGUACUGUGGGCUCCCCAUCUGACAACCCCCUAAACAGGUACUGUGGGCUCCCCAUCUGACAACCCCCUAAACAGGUACUGUGGGCUCCCCAUCUGACAACCCCCUAAACAGGUACUGUGGGCUCCCCAUCUGACAACCCCCUAAACAGGUACUGUGGGCUCCCCAUCUGACAACCCCCUAAACAGGUACUGUGGGCUCCCCAUCUGACAACCCC